UUCCGGUUUUGGAAAAAAGAAAACUCAAUCAACCCAAUAGCUAUUUUGCUUUGGCUUGUGGCAGUAUUACUACUCAAGAAACUAGAAAACCCUUUCCCUCUUCUCUCUCUAUAUAUCCUAUUUUUCUUCUUUUCUGUUGCGUUUUUCGCUCUCAUUCCUCAACACACCACAUGCUGUGAAAUUCUUUCUCAUGCCGAUUCUUUCACAGCUCACUAAAAUUCAAAUCCUGGUACUGGAGGGUUGUGAAUUCUAGAUACUAUUAUAGCCUAAAUAUAACCUAUGAAGGCACGUUGGUGAGUGAGAGAAAGAGAAAAGAGAUCAGAAAAGAUGACGUCAUCAUCAAAUUCGCCUUGUGCGGCGUGCAAGGCUCAACGGCGAAAAUGCACGCAAGAGUGCGUGUUCGCACCGUAUUUUCCACCGGACAAUCCUCAAAGGUUCACAUACGUUCACAAAGUUUUCGGUGCGAGCAAUGUAACGAAGCUGCUCAACGAGCUUGACGCGACUCAGCGUGACGACGCCGUGAAGUCGUUGGCAUAUGAGGCUGAGGCUCGGCUUAGGGAUCCUGUUUACGGUUGCGUUGGGGUUAUCUCUGUUCUACAACAUAAGCUAAGACAAAUCCAAGGUGAACUCAACGAUGCUAAAAAAGAACUUGCAACUUAUAUUGGUCCUCAAGCACUUCAUGGUGUUCCCACAAACAUUAUUCAACAACAACAACCUAAUAACCCUUUUGUUAACUCUCUUUACCCUUAUAAUAAUGGGAAUGUUGCGGCGGCUGCACAGAUGAUGAUUUGUGACUCUCAACCACCACCGUCUCAACAUCCGAUCAUGGAAGCUCAGCAAUUAGCUGCUGCUCUUGUUGAAAGAGAGCAACAAGAGAUGUUAAGGAGUUUCGAACAUCAACAACAGCAGCAAGAGUUUUUGAGGUUCAGUGGUGGGUUUGAUGUGGAUUCUGGUUCUUCCGGUGGUGGUUUCAACCAAAUGUCUCCUGCUGCUGCUGCUGCUGUGGCUUCUAGCGAUCAAUUGUCUCCUUCUUUGACUUUGGGAUCUUUUGAUAAUACUUAUCACCACAUGCAGCAAGUACAAGGAGAACCUCAACCUCAUCAUCAUCCACUUCAGGCACAUGCACAGCUACUUCUUCCACCUCAGCAGAAACAAGUGCAGACACAAACUCACCAACAACAGACGGAAAGCGAGGAGUGUAGGAGUGUUGGUCCUUCUUGUUGAAUUUCAAAUUUUGCAGCUCUUGUCAUUUCCUACUUGUUUGUCAAACAGUUUUCAGCUUAGGUUUUACCGUACGAAUACAAAUGGAUAGAGAGAAAGAGAAGAGAGAUAUAAAGUAUAUAUGCGAUCGAGGUUCAUAAAUCCGCAUUGUUUUGCUUGUCUUCGAAGGAGACUCACAAGGCACAAUUGAAAAUGGCUGAUGAUCUUACAGACUUUCUUCUAUGAAUCUUAAGCAGUAGCUACGUUUUAAUUAAUUCCCUUUUUAUGGUUCAAAACUAAACUGUAAAUCAGAAUUCAGAAAACUUUUAAAGGCUUUGAUUAUUUAUUAGCCCUAUCUUAUAAAUUUUAUUAUAAGGGCAUAACCAUUUGAUUAGUUUUUGAAUACAUAUAUAAGGGGCUUCUAUUAUCCCCAAUCUCGAAAACACGAGAUCAUUCUUUU